rnacentral:rRNA from 1 species
GAGGGGGGGGCCGCUUGAGAGUGGGCGGUGGGUUGGUGCGGUCGAAGCGGUAGCACGUAGAGCUUGCUCUCGGGUGACGAGCGGCGGACGGGUGAGUAAUGUCUGGGAAACUGCCUGAUGGAGGGGGAUAACUACUGGAAACGGUAGCUAAUACCGCAUAACGUCGCAAGACCAAAGUGGGGGACCUUCGGGCCUCAUGCCAUCAGAUGUGCCCAGAUGGGAUUAGCUAGUAGGUGGGGUAAUGGCUCACCUAGGCAACGAUCCCUAGCUGGUCUGAGAGGAUGACCAGCCACACUGGAACUGAGACACGGUCCAGACUCCUACGGGAGGCAGCAGUGGGGAAUAUUGCACAAUGGGCGCAAGCCUGAUGCAUCCAUGCCGCGUGUAUGAAGAAGGCCUUCGGGUUGUAAAGUACUUUCAGCGAGGAGGAAGGCGAUAAGGUUAAUAACCUUGUCGAUUGACGUUACUCGCAAAAGAAGCACCGGCUAACUCCAUGCCAGCAGCCGCGGUAAUACGGAGGGUGCAUGCGUUAAUCGGAAUUACUGGGCGUAAAGCGCACGCAGGCGGUCUGUCAAGUCGGUAUGUGAAAUCCCCGGGGCUCAACCUGGGGAACUGCAUCCGAAACUGGCGGGCUAGAAUCUUUGUAGAGGGGGGUACAAUUCCGGGUGUAGCGCUGAAAUGGUAAAGUCUGAAGAAUAGCGGUUGGCGAAGCCUGACCCCUAGAACAAGACUGAAGCC